rnacentral:rRNA from 1 species
GAUGAACGCUAGCGGCAGGCUUAACACAUGCAAGUCGAGGGGUAACAGGAGAAAGCUUGCUUUUUCGCUGACGACCGGCGCACGGGUGCGUAACGCGUAUAGAACUUACCUUUUACAGAGGGAUAGCCUUUAGAAAUGAAGAUUAAUACCUCAUAGUACUGAAGUUUGGCAUCAAAAUUUAGUUAAAGAUUUAUCGGUAAAAGAUGGCUAUGCGUCCUAUUAGCUAGAUGGUAAGGUAACGGCUUACCAUGGCAACGAUAGGUAGGGGUCCUGAGAGGGAGAUCCCCCACACUGGUACUGAGACACGGACCAGACUCCUACGGGAGGCAGCAGUGAGGAAUAUUGGGCAAUGGAGGCAACUCUGACCCAGCCAUGCCGCGUGCAGGAAGACUGCCCUAUGGGUUGUAAACUGCUUUUAUACAGGAAGAAACAGUUCUACGUGUAGAACCUUGACGGUACUGUAAGAAUAAGGACCGGCUAACUCCGUGCCAGCAGCCGCGGUAAUACGGAGGGUCCAAGCGUUAUCCGGAAUCAUUGGGUUUAAAGGGUCCGCAGGCGGUCAAUUAAGUCAGAGGUGAAAUCCCAUCGCUUAACGAUGGAACUGCCUUUGAUACUGGUUGACUUGAGUUAUAUGGAAGUAGAUAGAAUAUGUAGUGUAGCGGUGAAAUGCAUAGAUAUUACAUGGAAUACCGAUUGCGAAGGCAGUCUACUACGUAUAUACUGACGCUCAUGGACGAAAGCGUGGGGAGCGAACAGGAUUAGAUACCCUGGUAGUCCACGCCGUAAACGAUGGACACUAGUUGUUGGGAUUUAUUUCAGUGACUAAGCGAAAGUGAUAAGUGUCCCACCUGGGGAGUACGGUCGCAAGAUUGAAACUCAAAGGAAUUGACGGGGGCCCGCACAAGCGGUGGAGCAUGUGGUUUAAUUCGAUGAUACGCGAGGAACCUUACCAGGGCUUAAGUGUAGAGUGACAGGUCUAGAGAUAGA